AGACAUUGACCAGUGUUUGAUGAGGACAGACGGUCCAAGGUGUCCCACAAUGCUUCAGUCCAAGGCUUUGAGACAAACACUGUAUGUAUAUCAGACGUCAGCAGCAAAAUCUACAGACUUCACCACACGCAACUGACUACGACCAGAGGCCGUGCAUCGUGGGGCCCGGGAUGGGGCGGGGGGGGCGUAGCGGCAGCGCUUUGACCCGCAGCAGAGGAGGAGGAGGAGGAGGAGGAGCAGCGGCCCUCCUCUCGGCCGUACGCCCUCGAGGACCAUGCUAUUUCUCCGUUUCCUGAAGGUCUCUCUUUCCACGGGUCCGGUGGUGGUGGUGGUUGAGCCGUGGUCUUCUUCUUCUUGUUCUUCAUCCUCCAAGGAUCAAGAAUCUGCAGCAGCAUCACCCACUGGGUCGUAGUCCUCGUCUCCGUCGUCUCCGUCUUCUUCUUUGUCAGUUUCUCGGUCUUGCUCUUGCGAGUCCUCUUCGGGAUCAAUCAUCAUCAAUCAAUCAAAUUGUAUUUCUAUAGCCCAUAUUCACAAAUCCUGAUUUGUCUCAUAGGGCUUUAACAAUGUGAGACAUCCUCUGUGCUUAACCCUCAACAAGACUCAGGAAAAACUACUUGAAAAUCUUGAAGGAUAACUUCAAUACUAUAUAUCAGUCCUGCUGCAAUCAUAGUCUACGGUCAGCAGCCAGCAAGAUCAUGAUCCAGCAUCUAGAUCAGAUCCACUAUAGUCCACAGUCAUUGUCCACUGCCACCAGUUAGGAUCCAUCAUCAGCUGCCAUCUCAGUCAUGGUCCACCACCAUUAUCUGAUGCCAACGUGAUAAAGGAUCCGCCAUUCCCACUACGACCAGCCAGCACGAUAUAGAAUCCACCAAACUGGAUCCACCAUUGUGACCUCUGAUGCACGAUCCACAAAUCAUAAUCCAUGGUGCGGCCACAGAGGCCCUGGAUCUGCAGGCGAUAAGGCAAAGGGACUCCGGGGAAGGGGAACAAGUCAGUAACAUGUACUGAUGAGAUAUGAAUUACUUUGAUGUGAUAGGGAUGAAGAAGAGGAAGGAGAAGCUGGAAAGAGAAGCUCCGUGUGUCAUGGGUCAUAACUUCCCUUUGCACCUCAGUGUCAUCAGGGGUUUUGCCUUGUAAUCAAUGAUACGAUCAAGAGAAACACACCGUCUGCUAUAAAUGACCCACAAAGACACACACACACACACACUGGAUCUAUCCGACCCAGCAACAACACGAGGGUUAAUUCUUUUUUAUUAUGAAUGUAUUUUGUCAUGAAUGAUUAUUGCUGUUACUGUGAUUUAAACUAUUGAUACACUGGUCAUCAUCCUGGGUAGUACUAAGGGUAUUUUCACUGUGUCUGUAAUUCUAUAUUAUUUCAGCAUUAUAUGUGUAUUAUAUUGUAAUAAUACUAAUUAUACUACUGCUACUCCUAAUAAUAAUACAUAAUAAAUGUAUUUCUCUACUGUAAUAACCACACUGAUGUUCAAGUGUUCAUUUGUCAGAUCAGUUUGGUUUGAAUUAGUUAUUUGAUGAUAUGAAAAGGGGCUGAGACGUAAUGAUUGACAGCUGAGACUGACUCGUGAUUGGUCGAUCGUCUGCAGCUGGAUAUCUGCUCCAUGACGUCCUCCCCACAAGAUGGCAGCAUUCGUAUCCAAGAUACUUUGGCUUCAUAGUGGAAGGAAGUCGAGAUGACCACGUCCAAAUUCAUAGUUAGGCUGUGGUGAUGAUGGAAGUCGUGUCAUUCUGUAUAUUUGAGUUGGUAUUGCUACUUGAACUAUGACCUAAUGUGUGAUUCUGCCACCUCUCUCUCUCUCUCUCUCUCUGUCUCUCUGUGUCUCUCUCUCUCUCUCUCUCUCUCUCUCUGUCUCUCUGUGUCUGUCUCUCUCUUUCUCUCUCUGGGAUGUUGUACUCUCUAACCAUCGAGCCUCUGCUCCAUAAGCUAAGGAAGGUUUUAAAAGGUGAGCGGGGGGAAGAGCGAGGCUCUGCUGGCCUGGAAGAAAGGAGGACUCCAAUACCUCAGAGUGUCCUUUUCCUUCCUAAGGAGGAGGGGGGGCAGGGCCUGGUCCAUCUGGCCAGCAGGGGCGCUGCCUUCCGCCUCCAGUUCGUCCAGAGAUUACUGACCGGGCCAAUGGACGCUCUGUGGAGACCUCUGUCCCGGCGCAUCCUGCAACAUUUGAACAGCCUGGGUCUGGAUUUUAUUCUGUCUUUAAUGAGCGAUAACAAGAGAGUCACCAUCUCUUCCUGGUUCUUAUCAGAGUGUUUUUAAAGUCUGGAACCUUUUUUUAAAAGAGCGAAGGCUACAAGGGGACUCCCUGCACUGGCUGCUGCAGGAGCCAUGGGACCAUUUUAGAUCUCCCCCCCACCCCUCACCCUUUUCUUUUUGCUUUAGUGCUGAUACUGAGUCUGAUGUUUGUUUUCCUCUGUUAAAUGAAAUAAAGCAGAAACUAUAAUGUGCCUCACAGCUGAUUAUAAACUACCUGUGUGCUUGUUGGAUGAUUUACAGCUGAAUAUCGAGCUCAGGCUGACGGGAAGAGUCGCUCAUCAAAUAUGGAAUUUGUCCUCUGAUCUCUGAUCAGACUCAGAAACGGGGUCAGCAGUGAUGAACCAACAUCCACAACAACCUGCUGAUGUAAUCUAUAUAAUCAAAUCUAUGUUAAAUGCAACACUGAUUUUCAUGAUGUUCUCUUUUUUCUUAUUAAAGCUUUGCUCAGGAUC